rnacentral:rRNA from 1 species
AACGAACGCUGGCGGCAGGCUUAACACAUGCAAGUCGAACGCAUCCUUCGGGGUGAGUGGCAGACGGGUGAGUAACGCGUGGGAACGUGCCCUUCAGUUCGGGAUAACCCAGGGAAACUUGGGCUAAUACCGGAUACGUGCGAGAGCAGAAAGAUUUAUCGCUGAAGGAUCGGCCCGCGUCUGAUUAGCUAGUUGGUGGGGUAAUGGCCCACCAAGGCGACGAUCAGUAGCUGGUCUGAGAGGAUGAUCAGCCACAUUGGGACUGAGACACGGCCCAAACUCCUACGGGAGGCAGCAGUGGGGAAUAUUGGACAAUGGGCGCAAGCCUGAUCCAGCCAUGCCGCGUGAGUGAUGAAGGCCUUAGGGUUGUAAAGAUCUUUCAGUGGGGAAGAUAAUGACUGUACCCACAGAAGAAGCCCCGGCUAACUCCGUGCCAGCAGCCGCAGUAA